CCUACGGGAGGCUGCAGUGAGGAAUAUUGGUCAAUGGACGAGAGUCUGAACCAGCCAAGUAGCGUGAAGGAUGACUGCCCUAUGGGUUGUAAACUUCUUUUAUAAAGGAAUAAAACGAGGCACGUGUGCCUUUUUGCAUGUACUUUAUGAAUAAGGAUCGGCUAACUCCGUGCCAGCAGCCGCGGUAAUACGGAGGAUCCGAGCGUUAUCCGGAUUUAUUGGGUUUAAAGGGAGCGUAGAUGGGUUGUUAAGUCAGUUGUGAAAGUUUGCGGCUCAACCGUAAAAUUGCAAUUGAUACUGGCAGUCUUGAGUACAGUUGAGGUAGGCGGAAUUCGUGGUGUAGCGGUGAAAUGCUUAGAUAUCACGAAGAACCCCGAUUGCGAAGGCAGCUUACUAAACUGUGACUGACAUUGAGGCACGAAAGCGUGGGUAGCAAACAGGAUUAGAUACCCUUGUAGUC
rnacentral:rRNA from 1 species